AAGAAGAAAAGAUGAUGGUUACUCUGCAACUUUUUUGCUGUUACUGCAAAAUCCAAGUGCAUGUGUUAUCAAUCAUUAAAAGUGUAACUGAAUGUUUUUUUUAAAUGUAACUGCUAGAAAUUUAGCAGACCAUACUUGAAUAUGAAUUUUAGUGGUCUGUUGAUCCAGUGAAUGAAAAAAAGAUUUCAAACUCAUAGAAAUUCCAAACAGUAUUAAGCAAGGUCUCCUCUGCUAAAGUUUAUGAAAACAUAACAUUUCUAACAUUCAUAAAAUAUCUACUUUGAGUGGAUGUUCUAUAGCUGAGAGGGAUUUAUUUUACCAAGUGACAUUGGUAGAGUAUACCUCACAGUUCACUUAGUUAACUUCCGGUAUUUGAACCGGAAGUGACUUCAUGCGCUACGUGAUGUGGGAAAGUAAAGGCGUGUGGCUUCGUAUUUCAAUUUCCAAAUUUCCUUUGGGAGGAGUGUUAAGAAUUAGUAGCGAAAACUGUUUCUUACACCGCCUCUAUUUUUGCUUGCCGAUCCGAUUUUAUACGUGUUAGUGCUUAAGGUACAAGAUGGCUUCAAGAAAGACCAAAAAGACGACAAAAAAGCGAGCUCACCGAGCCACUUCGAACGUGUUUGCCAUGUUCGACCAAAACCAAAUUCAGGAAUUUAAAGAGGCUUUUAACAUGAUCGACCAAAACAGUGAUGGUUUCGUGGAUAAGGAAGAUUUACACGACAUGCUGGCUUCCCUGGGUAAAGAUCCUACCGACGAAUAUUUGGAAGAGAUGGUGAAAAUGUCUCCUGGUCCUAUCAACUUCACAAUGUUUCUAACGCUGUUUGGUGAAAAACUGAACGGGACAGAUCCUGAAGAUGUAAUAAAUAAUGCGUUUGCCUGUUUUGAUGACGAUGGUAACGGUAAAGUGCACGAAGAUGCAUUGAAAGAGGCUCUAACUACGAUGGGAGACAGAUUUACCGAGGAUCAGGUUGAUGAUGUGCUUCGUGACGCGCCGAUUGACAAAGAUGGAUACCUGGAUUUCGUUAAGUUCACACACAUCCUGAAACACGGAAAAAAGGAUGACAAUGAUUGAGACUAUCGACAGUUUCCAUGAAAAUAUUUCAGAUUUGUUAAGAAAAUUUUUGAGGGUCUGUUCUUUUUACUGAAAUUUGUAAUAUAUAAAAUAAUGAAGCGAAGAUCUAAUGUAUGAUAUAUUAGCUAGUUUGUGGAUUCCAUAUUGUUAGCCAUUUAAGGUCAUUUAUUGGCUUUGGAAUGUCUGGCAUGAAAUUUAUUGAACUGGAACGAAUUGUUACCUAUCAGAAUUUACUUUAAUGCGAUAAUCAAUGUUAACUUUUUUUAAGCAUUUCAUCUUAAUUGAUCUUUUGUCACAAUAUGGGUUGACAAACUUCACUGUGUUUGACAAUGGAAGCCUCCGUGACUCUCCUUGUUAUUUCCCAGUGCUUGAUUUAAGGAAACACUAAGAUUUUUUUAAAAAUGCCUCAAAAUAAUAUUUUAUGAAUAAAGAAAUAUCAGGAACUAAA